CUCACAGACAAACGAAAGAAGGCAUUUUUCUGCUUGACUGGAGUCUUUUGCAGGAGACAAAAAGUGUUUCUUCAAAUGUGAGGAGUGGGAUGUCCUAACCCUGCUCACCCUCGAGACCUAGGGCCCACCCAUGAAACUUCUCUCAAUAGAUCCACAACCCCCUAGGAAAUGACUGCUGCCUUCUUAGAACAACCAAACAUUCAACUGACUCAUUCUUCCCCCAUUCAUUUUCUUGGUAUCACCACAGUGUUUUGUUUACUAGGGAUGCCAUAACAAAUUACCAUAAACUGGGGGGAUUUAAAAUAACAGUUUAUUUUCUCACAGUUCUGGAGAAAUCUGGUGCUGGUGUGUUGGCAGAGCCCCACCUUUCUCUUAGCAGCUGGUGCUGCCAGCAAUCCUUGCUGUUCCUUGGCUUGUAGACAUGCCACUCCUCUGCCUCUGCUGUCACCUGGCAUUUCUUCUAUGUCUAUGGGUCUCUUAUGAGAACAUUAUUAAGCCAUUAUUGGAUUGGGACUCACUCUAAGCCAGAAUGACCUCAUCUUAACUUGAUUACAUCUGCAAAGACCCUAUUUCCAAAUAAGGCCACAUUCGUAGAUCCUACAGGUUAGGACGUCAACAUAUGUUUUUGGGGAACACAAUUCAACUAUGGUAAUUUUUUAUAUUACAUAUCACCCCUAAUCAGUAGUAAGCUCUUUGAAGGCAAGCACUAUAGCUCAUUCCUAUUUUCCCUUCCCUGUAUUAUUUAAUAAACAGAAAACCGAAGACAUAAAGUAGAAUGUAACUAAGCACCAGUUACCUUAACUAGUAGCUGAGCACAAAAUUAUGUGAUGCGGUCCAUUCAGUGUGGGAAAUUGGGAGGUCAGGGAGGCAGGUUUAUGAGGGCUGGAGUGCUUGGCAAAGGCUUUCUUGGGGAAGAAAGGCUGCUUAAUGAGUAGACAGGAUUUGGAGACAGAGAGAAAAGUGGCCGUAACUUUCCAAGUAGAGAAGCUGUAUGAACAAAAUAUUGUCUAUAAAAUUUUUUUUAAAAACGAUUAGAUAAAGUACAGUUUU